rnacentral:rRNA from 1 species
UAUUUAGAGAGUUUGAUCCUGGCUCAGGACGAACGCUGGCGGCGUGCCUAACACAUGCAAGUCGAACGAAGCUUGAUUACGGAUUCUUCGGAUGAAGUAUGAUAUGACUGAGUGGCGGACGGGUGAGUAACGCGUGAGCAACCUGCCUUUCAGAGGGGGAUAGCGUCUGGAAACGGACGGUAAUACCGCAUAAUGUAUGAUGAAGACAUCUUCGACAUACCAAAGAUUUAUCGCUGAAAGAUGGGCUCGCGUUGGAUUAGAUAGUUGGUGGGGUAACGGCUCACCAAGUCGACGAUCCAUAGCCGGACUGAGAGGUUGAACGGCCACAUUGGGACUGAGACACGGCCCAG